UACGGGGGGAGCAAGCGUUGUUCGGAUUUACUGGGCGUAAAGGGCGCGUAGGCGGCCUCCGCAAGUCAGUUGUGAAAUCUCCGAGCUUAACUCGGAAAGGUCAACUGAUACUGCGGGGCUAGAGUGCGGAAGGGGCAACUGGAAUUCUUGGUGUAGCGGUGAAAUGCGUAGAUAUCAAGAGGAACACCUGCGGCGAAGGCGGGUUGCUGGGCCGACACUGACGCUGAGGCACGAAAGCGUGGGGAGCAAACAGG
rnacentral:rRNA from 1 species